rnacentral:rRNA from 1 species
UUCGCAAUGCCCGAAAGGGUGACGAAGCGACGCCGCGUGCGGGAAGAAGGCCUUCGGGUUGUAAUCCGCUGUCGGGAGUUAAGAAAUGCAAGGGUGUUAACAGUAUCCUUGCUUGACUAAGGCUCCGGAGGAAGCCACGGCUAACUCUGUGCCAGCAGCCGCGGUAAUACAGAGGUGGCAAGCGUUGUUCGGAAUUAUUGGGCGUAAAGAGCACGUAGGCGGCUGUGUAAGUCGGUUGUGAAAGCCUUCCGCUCAACGGGAGAACGGCAUCCGAUACUGCAUGGCUUGAGUGCGGGAGGGGAGAGUGGAACUUCUGGUGGAGCGGUGAAAUGCGUAGAUAUCAGAAGGAACACCGGCGGCGAAGGCGACUCUCUGGCCCGUAACUGACGCUGAGUGUGCGAAAGCUAGGGGAGCAAACGGGAUUAGAUACCCCGGUAGUCCUAGCCGUAAACGAUGGGCACUAAGUAGAGGGGUUUU